rnacentral:lncRNA from 1 species
AAGGUGGGCUCAAUGUCAUCACAAGGGUGCUUAAGAGGGAAAGAGGAAGCCAUGAGGGUCAGAGUCAAAGGAAGACUUGAAGAUACUACACUGCGGACUUUAAAGAUGAAGGAAGGGGCGAAAACCAAGAAUGUGGGAAGCCUCUAGAAGCUAGAGAAGGCAAGGAAACAAAUUUUCCACUAGAGCCUCCAGAAGGAACACAGCCCUGCUGACCCACUGUAAUGUCUGACCUCUAGAUGUGUAAGGGUAGUAAGACUGAAAGUCUCAGAAAGGCACUGUUAAAUUCUUAUUCCUCAACUAUGCAACUCAAAACUGGGGUCCUCAGCAGUGAGCGAGGGGUGAGAGAAGACACUGUAUAAACAUGGCACAUCCUCCUGGAAAGUCAACUUUACUCAAAGGUUCUUACACACAGUGACAGCUAGCAGAGUCUAAAAUGCUGACAUUAUGACUUAGAGAUGUGAUAAAGAGAAACAUCUAUUGCAUUUUCUGUAAGUAAAUGUGGUGCCGGCAUUGAGAGAACAUACGUAAUCAGAUACCUGUUCUCCCUGAGUUUCUUAAUUUAAGCCUCGCGAUUCCUAAUUAGCAGUUAGAUUGCAUCCAUUGUUAUUUUGUCUUUGGUUAUCAAUGAUGAUCAACCUUUGCUAAACAAAGAUAUGUCAUCAUGCUGGGGACACUCAUGGAUUUUUUUUUAAAGGUUUUAACAUUUGAUAAUAGGUUUUCCAAUAGCUUGAAGGGUAGCUUUUAACAUUUCUUUUCCAGCUGAAGUAUUUCCUGAGUUCUGUCCAAGCCCUCUGUAGUUAAAGAAAAGGCUUUUUGACACUGAAUAGACAAUGUUGUGGCUUUUUUUUUCCUUCUUCAGACAAAUGUAUAGGCAUUUAGACCGCCACGUUGUACUCUCGUAAUUGAGAUACCUUGCAGAAAUGGCAAUUAAGGGUGACUCGUGUCAAAAAUAUUCAGGACAAAUUACAUUUUACUGAUUUUUAAAAACUUUCAAAGGUACUCUCUCCUCUUUCUUUCUCCUUUCUCUCUUCCUGCCUCCCUCCCACCCGCUCCUCGUUUUUUCUUUUAAAUAUUAAGUAAACUAUUUGCAUUUUUACGUCUCAUCAAAGUUGUUCCAGGUUUUUUCUGGGUUUACUGAAACUCCAAAUCGACUACUCAGAUCAAAACAAUUAGUGAAGUCUAAGGUAUUCUUAAUUCCUGAAAUGAAAACAGAAUGGACGUUCGGGACGUUCUGUUUUGCUCUGGCUACCCGCUUGGCUUCUCGCUCAGAAUAUUCUUGCUCUCAAGUUAGUUCCAGUUCUGUUUAUUUUGUCCUGAGCUCAGUGAACUUUCCAAAGCCCUACUCUUCAAACAACACUUUUUUUCCCCCGCCCCGUGAGCUGGAGUUUAUUUUGUGCUCACCCUUCAUUCUGUGAGUUGUGAAUAAUUUUAACACAAAGAAAAAAAAAUCUCCUCCUGACCACGGAGAGAAGAGGGGAUUUUAGAAUAAAGAUAAAAAUUGCUGUUUUAGCCCCCAAAGCAAAGGACUUGGGAAAGAAGAGAAAAGGGGGGAAAAUAGAACAGCAAAGGAAAAAAAAAAAAAAAAAAAACAGAAAAAAAUUUUUUAUAAGGGUGUCAGUACAAAACAGGUGUUUGAUGAAGCUCAAGCAAAACAAAUGACAAAGUUAGCAUUGAAAGGCCAAAUACGUGAUACACAUUUAAACUACUUAGGUAAAUUUAUUUAUGAAAUAAAUAUGCAGUUUUUCAAAUUUGAACAUGGAGCAAAUGUUUACAGAUUGAAACUUAUCAUUUCUUGAUUACCAGUAUGAAGUAGGGCAAUAGUCCUAUUGAAAGCCAUUCUUAAUUGGGCUCAUUGUAAAUGUUUGGUUAAAAGAAAAGAUUAAAGUGAGCUUUGGCCUCUGUGGAAUGCUGAGGCUGGUGAAAUUUCUGGUUCUAGCAUUAUCCUCAAAUUGUCUCACAGAGAAUUAUAUUUUACAAAGUUAGAAGGCGGAAGAACCCUACUCUUUGUUUUAGGUUUGCCUAGCAUCCAGUCAGAGAUGGGUAAAUAAGGACAGAACCAUGGGACUCCAGUGGCCUUACUUAGGAGGCCCAUACUAAUGGCAACGGCAAGACAGUGCUACAUAGACAUAAAUAAUCUGUGAUUGCAGAUGUGCAGGUACAGUAUAAAAAAAUUAUUCUAUCCUUAUAGUCUUAGGUGUUGGCACAUUUCUUUUGAGCCCAUGUAUAGAAGAGGACAACAUGAAAAAUGAAAUAUUCAAGCCGUGGAGAAAAAGAAAAUAUAUUGUUGUAUUUUAUUUAUGGAAUGCCCACUAUGUGCUGGUUCUCUACUGGCCCUAGAGAAGUACAGCUGUGAUCAAGACAGACAUAGUUCCUGCCCCCAUGGAGCUUACAAUCUAUCGCAGAGCUAGACCAGGGAAAAGAGUAUGAAGUGUGUAGAAUGAGAAGUAGAGAGUGUUACAGGAACACCCAGAAAACUAAGGUUAUUGGUUUAGUUGAUUUUUCCCCCUCUUUUUUUCUUCCCUCUUUUUCCUCUUCACCGUCUCUUUUCCUCUUCCCUUUCUUUCUCUCUUUCCCCUUUCCCUCUCUCUUUGUUCCUCUCUUUCCCUCUUGAUCUUUAUUUUCCAAACAGAAUUCAGCCAAACUCAUUUUUUAAAAGAGAAACAGUCUAACAUUAUUUAGAAAGAGCAGCAUAUUAUAAGUGGUUACAGCCAUAGACUUGGAAGGGUGUGACCCAGAUUGGAAUCCUGGCUCUGCCAUCAACUAGCCUGUAUUCUUACUCAAAAGAUAUUAUCUGUGUCUUCUUUUAUUAAAAAUAGGGCUAGAAAUAUGUACUUUUAGGAAUUUAUAGGAAUUUUAGAUGUGACCUUGUAAGUAAAGUCUCUGGCUUCCUUUCUAGCAGGUAGUGAUCAUGCUAAAAUCGUUAGCUACUACCAUAUUAUUAUUAUUACUAUUACUAUUAUUAUUUUUCUUUUUAUUUUGUAGAAGCAAUGUCUGUAUUAUACAACAGCUAAAAAAUAGUGAAUGAUGAUAUUAAUCAAUUGAAAGAAUUUUCUCCAAAAACAAUGACUAGCUUUGGAAUUACGUAAUUCUUAUGUUUUGUUUUGCCUAUUCACAAAAGCUGUUGUUUUUGAAUGUUAAAUAUAAAAACCAUUUUCAAUAAAUAAAUUUUUAGAUAAGAUACUAGAGCCAUAUUAUUUACAAUUGUGUUGUCUUUUCCUGUGAACAGUUUUAGGAUUAAAGCUUGAGCCAAAUUUCAAUGAGCCCCUUUAGGAGAUAGGGAAAUUUAUUAAUACUUACUUUGAUUCAAGAGUGAUUGAGACAUAUUUCUUAAUGCACCCAUAUAGAGUAAUGUGAUAGAUUUUUGUGUGUUUCUUGUGAAAUCAGUUGUACUGUAUUAGAGACAAACCCUAUGCAGGUGUGAAUAUGUAUUUAUAUAAUUUGAUAGUGCUAAAGCACAAAUUUAUA